GGAGGUUUAGCUCAGCGGUAGAGCAUUCGACUGCAAAUCGAAUGGUCCAUGGUUCAAUCCCGUGAAUCUCCU
rfam:Batrachochytrium dendrobatidis JAM81 unplaced genomic scaffold BATDEscaffold_6, whole genome shotgun sequence.